GAUGAAGAAAUAUCUUUAUGGUGGGUAUAGGGACCUAAGAUCCCAACUAAUGAUUGAAGGGUUUAUGAAGAAGACAAGCUACACCUUAUUUGUGCGGCCAGCAAUUAGACCCAAAAGAAAAGGUCUCAAAAUAAGACAAAAAGAGAUCGUAACAGAUUUCAAAUGAACUCAAAAUAUAUGUUGCAUUUCCAUUUUCUGUUAUCACUCUUAAGGGUUUUGGGGAGAAGUUGGUCCACCCAAAAUGGCAAAAACAUUGUUG
rnacentral:misc_RNA from 1 species